GAAAAAAGUCAUAGUAUAGUAUGCCGAAAAAAGUUGAAAAAAAUCAUAGUAUAGUAUGUCAAAAAAAGUCAUAGUAUAAUAUGUCGAAAAAAAGUCUACUUUAUUAAAGUAGUGUCACACACGGUAUCAUGAGACCAAGUUUUAUUGUAUGAUGGUGAGAAGUGUCUGUCUUAUGUGACUUUUAAAAAGAAGUACAAACAUAACACAUUUAAAAGAAACACAUUUUUAUUGAUGUACAAGUGUUACACAUUGUUGC